AGGCUGGUCGCCUGGUGAGGAGUUGAGACUCUACACCUCCCGCCCGGAACCCACAUGGCUUGUUACCUGGUCAUCAGUUCGAGACAUCUCAGCAAUGGGCACUACCGGGGCAUUAAAGGAGUCUUCAGAGGGCCCCUCUGCAAGAAUGGAUCUCCCUCUCCGGAGCCUGAAUGACCCCACUAGGGACUGGACAUAUGAAUGUGGAUAUAAGAAAAUAGCCCAUAAUCCACAUUGCUCUCCUGGCUGACCAGAGCUCACAUCUACAGGACGCUAUUAUUAUUUAUUAUUGGGCUGGUUUUCACUAAAAUACUGAUUUAUUUACUUUUACCUAGGUGUCACAUUUUGACUCACUGGACUGUUCUCUCCAAUGUUUACAGUUUACAUGUUUGACUAUACUUAAAUUACAUUUGCGUCAUUUAAAAAUCUCUGAAUUAGUCUGUGUAUUUCCUAAACCUGAUAUAUUUUGUCUUCUUUUGCAUUUUACUAUGGAAUUCGAAUGAUUAUUUCAAGGUUUGAAAAGUUUCUCACAUGAGAUGAGCAGUGCGUGAAAAGUGAUAUUUAUUCAUUCUCUGUCACUGGCAGGUUGUUGAGACAAGUCAGAUUUUCCUUCACCUUGCAUAACAUUUAGUCUUUCUCCUUAAAUUGAAAUAGGUCACUAUCCUCUGGACCCUAGACCCUUGAGAACUUAAGUAACAGUUUCCUGGUCCAGAUGAGUUUAUAUAUGCCUUCUUCAUGAAUGAGUUGUGAAGCAUAAAGGUGAAAACUGGUUACACAUCAUUCUUUUUUUUUUUUUUUUUUUAGUUACUUUCAGGUUAGCAGAAGUAUAUUGAUUUUUUUCAUCAGCAUAAGUAUUGAGUAUUUAUAAGUAUUUAUCAUCAGCAAACUCACAGAUCUAUGGUAUAUAAUCAUUUAUUUUUUAUGAAAACAUAGCUACUCUGAAGGUAUGUUUUUCAAAUUUAAUGCCCAGAAUGGUCUCAAAUUGACCUCUGUGUCAAUAAUUUAGUUAUUUCUACUCACUGAAACUCAGCUCAUCUGGGACUAUGGAUUGGGGUAUUUAACUCAUUUUCACUUAGUUCUACAGUAAUUUAAAUAUUGGUUCUUACUUUCUUAAUCUGACUGUCUUUCCUAUUUUAAUCCAUGUUUUUCUGUUUUAGUAGAGCUGUUUGAAAGUAGCACAUAACAGAAUCAUUGAAUAAGAUUAUUUUAUAACUUUGUUUAGAAUGGAGAAUAGCCACAAUUCCUUUUUGAUGUAAUAAGAGUUUCUUUCUUUGAUAGUUCUGAUAUAAAUAUACCUGGGUAUUAUGAAUUUAACAUUUGAAUGUCUUCUAGUUAUUUAAAGUAGUUGUAUAAUUUGUCAUGUUAAAUGACGUGUCUGUAGAAUCUGAACACAUGAUGUAUUAAACUGACAGUAAAAAGGGGAUGCUUAUAUUUAUAUACAUUUUUAUUUCAAAGGAUUUCAUUUAGAAAACAUUAAAUCAUUACAUGGAACUCUUGUAAUAAAUACUUAAUGGGAUACUUGAGAAAUAAAGAA
rnacentral:lncRNA from 1 species